ACGAACGCUGGCGGCGUGCUUAACACAUGCAAGUCGAGCGAUGAAGUUCCCUUCGGGGAACGGAUUAGCGGCGGACGGGUGAGUAACACGUGGGCAACCUGCCUUAAAGUGGGGGAUAGCCCUCCGAAAGGAGGAGUAAUACCGCAUAACGUAGUUUUAUCGCAUGAUGAGAUUACCAAAGGAGUAAUCCGCUUUAAGAUGGGCCCGCGGCGCAUUAGCUAGUUGGUGAGGUAGAGGCUCACCAAGGCGACGAUGCGUAGCCGACCUGAGAGGGUGAUCGGCCACAUUGGGACUGAGACACGGCCCAGACUCCUACGGGAGGCAGCAGUGGGGAAUAUUGCGCAAUGGGGGAAACCCUGACGCAGCAACGCCGCGUGGGUGAUGAAGGUCUUCGGAUUGUAAAGCCCUGUCUUCUGGGACGAUAAUGACGGUACCAGAGGAGGAAGCCACGGCUAACUACGUGCCAGCCGCCGCCGUAAAAC
rnacentral:rRNA from 1 species